AUGAAGCAGUGGAAGAAGUUUGUUAGAUUGAUCAAGCGUCCCUUCUGCAAAAAGAAGGUUCCUGUUGAGCCCAACAUGACCGGCCUGAAAUCAGUUCAGAAUGGUCAGAUGGAGGGAUUGACAGAACAGAUCCACAACCUCGAGGAGGUGAUGGAGACGUUCCAGGACAAGGAUAACUAUGCAGAAAAGGAGCAGAUGCUGAGGGCCUCUAAUGAUAAACUGAAGAUGGCUCUUCAUGAGGCGCGUGAGAACAAUCUGGCUCUUGUUGGAGACCUGAAGCGCCUGAAAGAUAGAGACCUUUCCAUUCAGGUCCUUCGGCGAGAAAAAAUAGCAGAACUGGAAGCGGCAAGAGACCGCGAACGUCUGCGAUAUGAGGAUCUCCAAAGACAGCUGAGCAUGGAGAGACAAGACAGAGAAGAAGCAGAAAGGCGUUUCUCUGAUGAAGCAGAGACUAGUAAGCAGAUGGAGAAGAAGAGUGAAGAGGCUCUUUAUGAAGAAAUGCUGCAGAAGGAGAAUAAGGAGAAGGACCAGUUAAGAAGGGAAAUGGAAGAUGAGCAGAGGAGAAGAGAGGAAGUUGAAAGAGAACUUGAAGCAGAAAAAGAACACAUGGAAGAGGCAGAGAGGCUUCUCCUGGAGACCAAGAAAAAGUUCCACGAACAGCUGGAGAUCAAAGAAAGUCUCAACGAAGAGACACUCCAGCCAAUAAAACAGGAACUUGAAAUGAUGAGAGCCGUAAGAGACUAUGAGCGCGAAGGACGAGAAGAACUUCUCAAAGAAACGGCUACCAGGAACGAACUGGAAAAACGUUGCCUGGACAUAAAUCAAACAACUGGGAGUAAUGAGAUUGAGGAAAUUCUGGAGAUCCUCCUCAAAAGGGAGAAGGAACUGUCUGGGGAACAGGAGAAGACAACAGAAAGGAAAAGAGAACUAGAGCGUCUUCUAGAAGCUUCACAAAAAAACGCGAAGAAAGGAAAUAAAUACAAGCCCAGGCCUGGGCAGCGACAGAGAAGAAUGAUGGAUGGAGGAAACAGCAAAGAAACAAACAUGUUUUACAUGCGAGGAGGGGUCGGGUGUGGAUUAAAAAAUGUGUCUUUCGAGAUGAAUCUAAAAAAAUUGUUUAAAUAA
ensembl:lncRNA